rnacentral:rRNA from 1 species
UACGUAGGGGGCUAGCGUUGUCCGGAUUUAUUGGGCGUAAAGAGCGUGUAGGCGGCCAAGUAGGUCCGGUGUGAAAACUCGAGGCUUAACCUCGAGAUGUCAUCGGAAACCAUUUGGCUAGAGUCCGGAAGAGGAAAGUGGAAUUCCUGGUGUGAGCGGUGAAAUGACGCAGAUAUCAGGAGGAACACCUAUAGCGAAGGCAGCUUACUAGGCUGUAACUGACGCUGAGGCACGGAAAAGUGUCGGGGAUCAAACAGG